rnacentral:rRNA from 1 species
UACGGGGGGGCAAGCGUUGUUCGGAAUUACUGGGCGUAAAGGGCUCGUAGGCGGCCAACUAAGUCGGAUGUGAAAUCCCCGGGCUUAACCUGGGAAUGGCAUUUGGGACUGCAAGGCUUGAGUGCGGCAGAGGAGACUGGAAUUCCUGGUGUAGCAGUGAAAUGCGUAGAUAUCAGGAGGAAUACCGAUGGCGAAGGCAGGUCUCUGGGCUGACACUGACGCUCAUGCACGAA